GUGAGGAAUAUUGCGCAAUGGAGGCAACUCUGACGCAGCCAUGCCGCGUGCAGGAAGAAGGCGCUACGCGUUGUAAACUGCUUUUAACCGGGAAGAAACCCCAGGACGUGUCCUGGGUUGACGGUACCGGAGGAAUAAGCACCGGCUAACUUCGUGCCAGCAGCCGCGGUAAUACGAAGGGUGCAAGCGUUAUCCGGAUUCAUUGGGUUUAAAGGGUGCGUAGGCGGAGCGUUAAGUCAGUGGUGAAAUCCUGCAGCUUAACUGUAGACUGGCCAUUGAUACUGGCGCUCUUGAGUGCGCUUGAAGUGGGCGGAAUGUGCCGUGUAGCGGUGAAAUGCUUAGAUAUGGCACAGAACACCAAUUGCGAAGGCAGCUCACUAAGGCGAUACUGACGCUGAGGCACGAAAGCGUGGGGAUCGAACAGGAUUAGAUACCCUAGUAGUCC
rnacentral:rRNA from 1 species